rnacentral:rRNA from 1 species
GACGAACGCUGGCGGCGUGCUUAACACAUGCAAGUCGAACGGAAAGGCCCCUUUGGGGGUCCUCGAGUGGCGAACGGGGGAGGAACACGGGGGUAAACUGCCCUUGACUUCGGUAUAACUUCAGGAAACUGGGGCUAAUACCGGAUAGGAAUCCUUGCUGCAUGGGGGGGGUUGGAAAGCUUCGGCGGUUUUGGAUGGACUCGCGGCUUAUCAGCUUGUUGGUGGGGUAGUGGCUUACCGAGGCAUUGACGGGUAGCCGGCCUGAGAGGGCGACCGGCCACAUUGGGACUGAGAUACGGCCCAGACUCCUACGGGAGGCAGCAGGGGGGAAGCUUGCACCAUGGGCGGCAGGCUGAUGCAGCAACGCCGCGGGCGGGAUGACGGCCUUCGGGUUGUAAACCGCUUUCAGCAGGGGCGAAGCUUGUGGUGACGGUACCUGCAGAAGAAGCACCGGCUAACUACGUG